AUAAUGGGUCAGCGACUUAUAUUCUGUAGCAAGGUUAACCGAAUAGGGGAGCCGAAGGGAAACCGAGUCUUAACUGGGCGUUAAGUUGCAGGGUAUAGACCCGAAACCCGGUGAUCUAGCCAUGGGCAGGUUGAAGGUUGGGUAACACUAACUGGAGGACCGAACCGACUAAUGUUGAAAAAUUAGCGGAUGACUUGUGGCUGGGGGUGAAAGGCCAAUCAAACCGGGAGAUAGCUGGUUCUCCCCGAAAGCUAUUUAGGUAGCGCCUCGUGAAUUCAUCUCCGGGGGUAGAGCACUGUUUCGGCAAGGGGGUCAUCCCGACUUACCAACCCGAUGCAAACUGCGAAUACCGGAGAAUGUUAUCACGGGAGACACACGGCGGGUGCUAACGUCCGUCGUGAAGAGGGAAACAACCCAGACCGCCAGCUAAGGUCCCAAAGUCAUGGUUAAGUGGGAAACGAUGUGGGAAGGCCCAGACAGCCAGGAUGUUGGCUUAGAAGCAGCCAUCAUUUAAAGAAAGCGUAAUAGCUCACUGGUCGAGUCGGCCUGCGCGGAAGAUGUAACGGGGCUAAACCAUGCACCGAAGCUGCGGCAGCGACACUAUGUGUUGUUGGGUAGGGGAGCGUUCUGUAAGCCUGUGAAGGUGUACUGUGAGGUAUGCUGGAGGUAUCAGAAGUGCGAAUGCUGACAUAAGUAACGAUAAAGCGGGUGAAAAGCCCGCUCGCCGGAAGACCAAGGGUUCCUGUCCAACGUUAAUCGGGGCAGGGUGAGUCGACCCCUAAGGCGAGGCCGAAAGGCGUAGUCGAUGGGAAACAGGUUAAUAUUCCUGUACUUGGUGUUACUGCGAAGGGGGGACGGAGAAGGCUAUGUUGGCCGGGCGACGGUUGUCCCGGUUUAAGCGUGUAGGCUGGUUUUCCAGGCAAAUCCGGAAAAUCAAGGCUGAGGCGUGAUGACGAGGCACUACGGUGCUGAAGCAACAAAUGCCCUGCUUCCAGGAAAAGCCUCUAAGCAUCAGGUAACAUCAAAUCGUACCCCAAACCGACACAGGUGGUCAGGUAGAGAAUACCAAGGCGCUUGAGAGAACUCGGGUGAAGGAACUAGGCAAAAUGGUGCCGUAACUUCGGGAGAAGGCACGCUGAUAUGUAGGUGAAGUCCCUCGCGGAUGGAGCUGAAAUCAGUCGAAGAUACCAGCUGGCUGCAACUGUUUAUUAAAAACACAGCACUGUGCAAACACGAAAGUGGACGUAUACGGUGUGACGCCUGCCCGGUGCCGGAAGGUUAAUUGAUGGGGUCAGCGCAAGCGAAGCUCUUGAUCGAAGCCCCGGUAAACGGCGGCCGUAACUAUAACGGUCCUAAGGUAGCGAAAUUCCUUGUCGGGUAAGUUCCGACCUGCACGAAUGGCGUAAUGAUGGCCAGGCUGUCUCCACCCGAGACUCAGUGAAAUUGAACUCGCUGUGAAGAUGCAGUGUACCCGCGGCAAGACGGAAAGACCCCGUGAACCUUUACUAUAGCUUGACACUGAACAUUGAGCCUUGAUG
rnacentral:rRNA from 2 species